GUUCCUAACGAAAUGAAGCUUCGGNAGUAUUUUUGUUUGAACUUAGUGGCGGACGGGUGAGUAACGCGUGAGGAACCUGCCUCUCAGGAGGGGGACAACAGUUUGGAAAACGACUGCUAAUACCGCAUAAUGCAUUCUGAUCGCAUGAUCGGGAUGCCAAAGAUUUAUCGCUGAGAGAUGGCCUCGCGUCUGAUUAGAUAGUUGGUGGGUAACGGCCUACCAAGUCGACGAUCAGUAGCCGGACUGAGAGGUUGACCGGCCACAUUGGGACUGAGACACGGCCCAGACUCCUACGGGAGGCAGCAGUGGGGAAUAUUGCGCAAUGGGGGCAACCCUGACGCAGCAACGCCGCGUGAAGGAAGAAGGUCUUCGGAUUGUAAACUUUUGUCUUUAGGGAAGAAUAAUGACGGUACCUAAGGAGGAAGCUCCGGCUAACUACGUG
rnacentral:rRNA from 1 species